CCUACGGGUGGCAGCAGUCGAGAAUCAUGCACAAUGGGGGAAACCCUGAUGGAGCGACGCCGCGUGGGGGAAUGAAGGUCUGCGGAUGGUAAACCCCUGUCAUGUGGGAGCAAAUUAAAAAGAUAGUACCACAAGAGGAAGAGACGGCUAACUCUGUGCCAGCAGCCGCGGUAAUACAGAGGUCUCAAGCGUUGUUCGGAAUCACUGGGCGUAAAGCGUGCGUAGGCGGUUUCGUAAGUCGUGGGUGAAAGGCGCGGGCUCAACCCGCGGACGGCACCUGAUACUGCGAGACUAGAGUCAUGGAGUGGGAACCGGAAUUCUCGGUGUAGCCGUGAAAUGCGUAGAUAUCGAGAGGAACACUCGUGGCGAAGGCGGCUUCCUGGACAUUAACUGACGCUGAGGCACGAAGGCCAGGGGAGCGAAAAGGAUUAGAUACCCCUGUAGUC
rnacentral:rRNA from 1 species